rnacentral:rRNA from 1 species
AGCGAACGCUGGCGGCAGGCUUAACACAUGCAAGUCGAGCGGGCACUUCGGUGUCAACGGCAGACGGGUGAGUAACACGUGGGAACGUACCCUUUGGUUCGGAAUAACGCUGGGAAACUAGCGCUAAUACCGGAUACGCCCUUUUGGGGAAAGGCUUGCUGCCGAAGGAUCGGCCCGCGUCUGAUUAGCUAGUUGGUGGGGUAAUGGCCUACCAAGGCGACGAUCAGUAGCUGGCCUGAGAGGAUGAUCAGCCACACUGGGACUGAGACACGGCCCAGACUCCUACGGGAGGCAGCAGUGGGGAAUAUUGGACAGUGGGCGCAAGCCUGAUCCAGCCAUGCCGCGUGAGUGAUGAAGGCCUUAGGGUUGUAAAGCUCUUUUGUCCGGGACGAUAAUGACGGUACCGGAAGAAUAAGCCCCGGCUAACUUCGUG